UAUAGAUAUUCACACUUUACUGGUUAUGUGAUCGAUCGGGCAUCUAGUCCUAAUUACCACCCCACAGUUUGUGGAAUUUUACAGAUGGACAAGAGGAUACGUAAGGUUACAAUAACUCUGAAUAUUUUCUUGGGACUAUUGACUAGAAUCAGUAAAAAAAAUCAAAUAAUAACAAGAACAAAGGGGUUCCCCUUAAUAGGAACGGAUAGACUUGCCCAUAGUCACUAAUAGAGAUACUCACUUUCUCGAUG
rnacentral:misc_RNA from 1 species